AAUUGAACUAUUUUCUAAGAAAAUGUCAAAUGGAUACUACGGUGAUUUUUUAAUAAUCUUAAUAUAAUUAUUAUGAUAAAAUAACUGUCAACGCCCAAAUAAUACAUUGCUAUACCAAUAAAUUAAACAUUUAUUCUAUUCAUUACACACGCUUGGGAUAGACAGUGAAAACUAUUAACGAAUUCAUCAUAUCUCCAAAAAGUACAACAGACGUCAUGCUGAAACAGUUUGCCGAGUUUUUACUGGUGUCAUAGUUCAGAGUGAGCGUGAGAACGCGGGCCCAUCGAGCAACACUGAAACUCGCGGGGGAGUUUUUGUUCAGAAGGGUUCAACGACUCUGUGCCAAUGGCGGUCUAUCGGCAUGAAUACGCUUUCAAGACUCAGUUUGAAGAUAACGAAAAAUCUUUUAAGUCAAAAAGCUUAAUAAUGCUCGUCAUAUUUACAGGCUUUUGAUCCUCACGAAUAUAUAUCAACAAAAUAAGGUAUUACAUAUAGGUGCAUCGUAACAUUCACUGUCCGUUGGUCACCCCUGACCGACGGCCUCUGACCUCAUGAGAAUAAGAACUUGAACUUAAUCCUUGCAAUCGCGAAUUUAACCCUAAAAUUUCAAUAACCACGACCUUGUGAUAUUUUCAUGGCUUUUGCAAUAUCUACAUAAUAUGUUAUAUGCAGACAAAGGAAGAUAAAAAAUGUUUUAGCUGUUUAGUUAAUUAAUUGUUAAUCAAUAGAUUUUUUUUGCUUAGUAACCGUUACCGCAAAUUAGUGUGUGCAAAAAAAAUUUUAAUAAAUAAAAAAGUGAGUAAGGUAAUAAUAAAAAAGUAAAAGCAAUUCAUUAUUUAUAUAGGUGAUUUUUAUAGGUUUUGUAAUUUUUUGUAUAAAUUAAAAAUUAAAGAAAGAAAGUUAAAAACCA